rnacentral:rRNA from 1 species
AUACGGAGGGUGCAAGCGUUGUUCGGAAUUAUUGGGCGUAAAGAGCAUGUAGGCGGACUGUUAAGUCUGGUGUGAAAGCCCGGGGCUCAACCCCGGAAGUGCAUUGGAUACUGGCAGUCUUGAGUAUGGGAGAGGAAAGUGGAAUUCCGAGUGUAGGAGUGAAAUCCGUAGAUAUUCGGAGGAACACCAGUGGCGAAGGCGGCUUUCUGGACCAAUACUGACGCUGAGAUGCGAAAGCGUGGGGAGCGAACAGGAGUAGAUACCCUAGUAGUCC